CCUACGGGCGGCAGCAGUAGGGAAUAUUGCUCAAUGGGGGAAACCCUGAAGCAGCAACGCCGCGUGGAGGAUGAAGGUUUUCGGAUUGUAAACUCCUUUUGUUAGAGAAGAUAAUGACGGUAUCUAACGAAUAAGCACCGGCUAACUCCGUGCCAGCAGCCGCGGUAAUACGGGGGGCGCAAGCGUUACUCGGAAUCACUGGGCGUAAAGAGCGCGUAGGCGGGAUAGCAAGUCAGAUGUGAAAUCCUAUGGCUUAACCAUAGAACUGCAUUUGAAACUGUUAUUCUAGAGUAUGGGAGAGGUAGGUGGAAUUCUUGGUGUAGGGGUAAAAUCCGUAGAGAUCAAGAGGAAUACUCAGUGCGAAGGCGACCUGCUGGAACAUAACUGACGCUGAUGCGCGAAAGCGUGGGGAGCAAACAGGAUUAGAUACCCCUGUAGUC
rnacentral:rRNA from 1 species